rnacentral:lncRNA from 1 species
UCGUAUUCAGAGGACUAAUCAAAAUGUACUCGAUCUUGCAAUCAAUUAACUCAUUUGGAGGUUAUGGUCUCUUCCCUUAGUCACACUUAGUCGCACCUAGAUUCAGUCAUCACCUCACGCAAUGCGGGAACAGCGGUUCUUUCCUCUUCAACAUGAUAAUGGUGAUAGCAUUCUGGAAGAGUAUCUCCUACUUCAAAGGCCCUGAUCCCACUGAUACUUCAUGUUGUGACAUAUUCUGGUCAGAGCUUGUGAUAUUGAUCACAAUACAAAAAUUUGUUGGAAUGGACACUGGUUUGUCCAUCUAUGCAUUCAAGAAAUGUUCAGGUAGAUGUCACUUCCCUAAAUAUUCCUUUUUGAAGUCAUCGUCUUGCUGGCCCACACUGACUGGUACAAGUUUGUUGGAAUCGUAUAAUCCUAUUCAUCCCUUCAAACAUCAGCACGUGCAAUAAAAAAAAUUCGUGUGCAGAAUCAGUCUUAAGAGGCGAGUUAAUCAGAUAGUUAAAUCACGCGUAUGUGUGAUACUGUGCACUUAUUUCUUACCACAGCAGUUUGACAAGUUGGACAUUCCUGAUCGGAUUCAUGGCAAUCGUUCGGAAUCAGGACCCAAAUUUUUUUAAAAUAAGAUCGAAGAGUAUCAAGAAUUCUGGACAUCAAAUCUAAACAAACUGCACAGUAAGUAAGACUUCGGUAGAAGUUCCGAGUGGAUUGUACUAUGAUGUCAAUAACUGCAACCAUUUACCAACCGACAAAUAAUCCAAUCAACGGAUCUGGGAAAGUCGAAUCUCAUGUUGACUAACCUUGAUCUCGACUACGUAUCCAGUUUGUCUCAGUAAAUGAUAGAUGCUCCUGAUCUCAAUUCUCC